ACCAGCAAUACUUAUAUCAACAUUGUCAUAUAAAUCUUGUAUCUGCAACUGACAGUAUGCCAUAUGAUCAAGCGCGACAAUCUAUGUGGAAUUAAGCAGUUAUCUCUAUGUAAAGAUGUAAAUUUAAAUAAUUAUUAUACUUGUGAAUUUUAUUAUUGUAUUUUAAUUUUUAUUCUAUAUCAGGUAUAAUUGUUUUUUACUUACAAAAAGCUUACAUGCAUGUUAAUUGAUGAGUAUAAUAAGGUAUAUAUAGCAAAUAUAAAUAAUUAUUUAUUUAAAUCUUUCAAAAUAAUAUUAUAAGAGUUUAUUGGAAUCAAAAAAAUCAAAAAAAAUCCGUGCCAAAGCGUGCCAGUAGGAGGUCGUGCGUAUCUGUCGGCACGCAAGCGUGCCACGUGUCGGCACGCAAGCGUGCCCGUGCCGUACCGUGCCAGGGCUGUAACGGCACGCCCCCGUGCCACGGCACUUUAAACCUUGACCUCAGUAAAGCAAUAGUUAGAGCUUUUUUUAUAAGACUUACUUAGCACCGUCAGAUAUAUGGG
rnacentral:lncRNA from 1 species